UACAGAGGUCCCCAGCGUUGUUCGGAUUCACUGGGCGUAAAGGGUGCGUAGGCGGUCGGGUAAGUCUGGCGUGAAAUCUCCAAGCCUAACUUGGAAACUGCGUUGGAUACUAUCCGGCUCGAGGAAUGGAGGGGAGACUGGAAUACUUGGUGUAGCAGUGAAAUGCGUAGAUAUCAAGUGGAACACCAGUGGCGAAGGCGAGUCUCUGGACAUUUCCUGACGCUGAGGCACGAAAGCCAGGGGAGCAAACGGG
rnacentral:rRNA from 1 species